rnacentral:rRNA from 1 species
GAUGAACGCUGGCGGCGUGCUUAACACAUGCAAGUCGAGCGAAGCGCUUUUGCGGAUUUCUUCGGAUUGAAGCAACUGUGACUGAGCGGCGGACGGGUGAGUAAACGCGUGGGUAACCUGGCCUCAUACAGGGGGAUAACAGUUGGAAACGGCUGCUAAUACCGCAUAAGCGCACAGUACCGCAUGGUACCGUGUUAGAAAAAACUCCGGUGGUAUGAGAUGGACCCGCGUCUGAUUAG